GCGGGUGUAGCUCAGCCGGCAGAGCGUCAGCUUCCCAAGCUGAAGGUCGUGGGUUCGAGACCCAUCACCCGCU
rnacentral:tRNA from 1 species